GGAUUUUUAUGUGUAUGGUCAUUUCAAGUGAAUUUUGUAUACAGAGCAAGAGUCCAGCAUCCACGUGCACUCCUGACCAGGACGUAGAGAGAGGCCCUCCAGGAGGUGUGCAAAGUGGCGUGGAUUUGGGACAGCGAUUUGACAGUAUCUGAGAAAGUUAAAACUCUGCAUCCCCAACACACAGCAAGCCCUGCAGCGAUCAGGAAACUGAGGCAAGCGACCAACCUAAGUUGAAUUCUGAAGUCAGGCAACUUGUGUCCAAAGUCCAUGACCAGAAUCUUUCUGUUUUGCCGCCAUGCUCAAAAUAGGAAAGGCGAUUACUUUAAAACAUGAAAGAAAUUGCACCUUUUCCUUAAGGGCAAGAUGGUGCUGUGGGCUUUCCUCUCUCCUGAUGAGAUGAUGCAAAUGGACUCCAUAGAGAAACGCUGCCCGUGUAACAAUGCAGUUACGCAACCCGGUGCAUGACACAUGAAUUGCAGCGCACCUGAGAUCCUGAUGAAAUCCUGGGAGCCUGGAGCUGUCAAACAUGGUUUUAAAAAAUAAAGGGAAUACACCCAGCCCA
rnacentral:lncRNA from 10 species